GAGCUCACUUUGGCAGCAGAUGUACUAAAACUGGAAGGGUACAGACAAGACUAGCCCAACUGCUGCGCGAGGAUGACACGCAAAUUUGUGGAGCAUUCCAUAUUUUU
rnacentral:snRNA from 1 species